GAUGAACGCUGGCGGCGUGCCUAACACAUGCAAGUCGAACGGAGUCCAGCCUUUAAGACCUUCGGGUCAAAGAGGGGAAGACUGAGUGGCGGACGGGUGAGUAACACGUGGGCAACCUGGCUCAUAGAGGGGGAUAACAGAGAGAAAUUUCUGCUAAUACCGCAUAAGCACACACUGCCGCAUGGCAGAGGGUGAAAAGAGAAUCGCUAUGAGAUGGACCCGCGUCUGAUUAGCCAGUUGGCAGGGUAAGAGCCUACCAAAGCGACGAUCAGUAGCCGAUCUGAGAGGAUGAACGGCCACAUUGGGACUGAGACACGGCCCAAACUCCUACGGGAGGCAGCAGUGGGGGAUAUUGCACAAUGGGGGGAACCCUGAUGCAGCGACGCCGCGUGAGUGAAGAAGUAAUUCGGUAUGUAAAGCUCUAUCAGCAGGGAAGAUAAUGACAGUACCUGAAUAAGAAGCCCCGGCUAACUACGUG
rnacentral:rRNA from 1 species